GACCAUCUAGCGACCUCCACUAACACCCUGACCAUCUAGCGACCUCCAGAGGUGUGAUGACGAGGCACUACGGUGCUGAAGUAACAAAUGCCCUGCUUCCAGGAAAAGCCUCUAAGCAUCAGGUAACAUCAAAUCGUACCCCAAACCGACACAGGUGGUCAGGUAGAGAAUACCAAGGCGCUUGAGAGAACUCGGGUGAAGGAACUAGGCAAAAUGGUGCCGUAACUUCGGGAGAAGGCACGCUGGCGCGUAGGUGAGGGGACUUGCUCCCGGAGCCGAGGCCAGUCGAAGAUACCAGNUGGCUGCNACUGUUUAAUAAAAACACAGCACUCUGCAAACACGAAAGUGGACGUAUAGGGUGUGACGCCUGCCCGGUGCUGGAAGAUUAAAUGAUGGGGUGCAAGCUCUUGAUUGAAGUCCCAGUAAACGGCGGCCGUAACUAUAACGGUCCUAAGGUAGCGAAAUUCCUUGUCGGGUAAGUUCCGACCUGCACGAAUGGCGUAACGAUGGCCACACUGUCUCCUCCCGAGACUCAGCGAAGUUGAAAUGUUUGUGAUGAUGCAAUCUACCCGCGGCUAGACGGAAAGACCCCAUGAACCUUUACUGUAGCUUUGCAUUGGACUUUGAACCAAUCUGUGUAGGAUAGGUGGGAGGCUUUGAAGCGGGGACGCUAGUUCUCGUGGAGCCAACNUUGAAAUACCACCCUGGUGUGUUUGAGGUUCUAACCUUGGUCCAUUAUCUGGAUCGGGGACAGUGCAUGGUAGGCAGUUUGACUGGGGCGGUCUCCUCCUAAAGUGUAACGGAGGAGUUCGAAGGUACGCUAGAUACGGUCGGACAUCGUGUUGAUAGUGCAAUGGCAUAAGCGUGCUUAACUGCGAGACUGACAAGUCGAGCAGGUACGAAAGUAGGACAUAGUGAUCCGGUGGUUCUGUAUGGAAGGGCCAUCGCUCAACGGAUAAAAGGUACUCUGGGGAUAACAGGCUGAUUCCUCCCAAGAGUUCAUAUCGACGGGGGAGUUUGGCACCUCGAUGUCGGCUCAUCACAUCCUGGGGCUGUAGCCGGUCCCAAGGGUAUGGCUGUUCGCCAUUUAAAGUGGUACGUGAGCUGGGUUUAAAACGUCGUGAGACAGUUUGGUCCCUAUCUGCCGUGGGCGUUGGAAAUUUGAAGGGGGCUGCUCCUAGUACGAGAGGACCGGAGUGGACGAACCUCUGGUGUACCGGUUGUCACGCCAGUGGCAUUGCCGNGUAGCUANGUUCGGAANNGAUAACCGCUGAAAGCAUCUAAGCGGGAAACUUGCCUUGAGAUGAGAUUUCCCAGAGCCUUGAGCUCUUUNAAGGGUCGUUCGAGACCAGGACGUUGAUAGGCUGGGUGUGGAGGUCGCUAGAUGGUCAGGGGUAGUGGAGGUCGCUAGAUGGUCAGGGGGUG
rnacentral:rRNA from 1 species